UGUGCACUGGAGGGGUCCCUUGGCCUGGCCUGUGCCCUCUCACAAUCCAGGACCCUUGGGGGAUGUCGGAGAGCUGGUUUCAGCCUGAUCUCCGCAGGCCAGGCCAAGGGACCCCACCAGUGCACG
rnacentral:pre_miRNA from 1 species